CACUGCCGCUGUGAAGUGAAGCGUUGGAUUCGCAAGGAAAUUCCAAACGUGUUCCAAACUGUUUGGACAAACCUGCAGCUAAUAAACUGGUACGCAUGAUCUAAAAGAAAAUGUAGAAAAGCAAGAACCGCGUCGUGUCAUAGAGGCGAAAUAACUUCCACGAAAAAACGUAAACUAAAUAGAGCUUGUACGUAUACUAUCCAUACUAUCCUGUAUAUGGUUGCCGCACAUUUUGUUCUUCCCCUUAGACUUCAGCGAUGCCCAAGGACGUGAAACCCAACAUGUUUUGUCUGCUACCGCCCUCCGUUCACACCUCACCACGCCUCGAUACACCUCGGCACACUUCAUCGGAGAAUGACUUACGAUGCACGGGCACGCCUGUGGGUGACAAGAGAAAUUAUGAGGGAAAUUCACCUACGCCAAAUCGGGCCCACGUUUUGAGUUGGGGGGUGGGUGGGUGGGAGGGGGGGUUAAGGUGGAUGGUGGUUGACAGAGGGGAGGGAGCGAGCGCUGAAGGGAAGGGGGGAAGAGAGGCAGGGUGUGGGAAGGAGGAAGGAGGGGAGGGGUUGCUUCCUGUCGCCAUUCCGGCCUGCCCACAUAGACAGACGGAGAAAAGAGAGUGUAUCUGAGGCUGACUGCAAGCCACAUGACAUUCUCUCUGGGUCCUUCGCUCGCCUCUGCGCCGAGUGAUGUGCUCCCUCCCCUCCUUCCCGUUCCUCCCGCCUUCCCUCCCACCCUCCCGCCCUUCAAAGCUUUGACAUGUCAUCUCCCACCACAAAAACAGAGGUGGGAAGACUCGCUGGCGCUACCGCUGCCUCAGGGUGUCUGGCACUAAAGCUGCCUGCAAAUACAGCGAGGGAGAGGAGGAGGAGGAGGAGGUGGAGGAGGAUCGAGGAGACAGAGAGGAUGCCGGAAGGAGGGAUAGACAAGACAGAAAAGAAAAAUUGAAAAAGAAAAGGAUCGGCGGGCAGGACGGUGCGCACUGAAGGAGACUCAUAAAAAGCCGGGUGUCAGAAGAGCUGUUCGAAAGAUGGAGGGCUUCGAGAUGCGUCUGUUCUUUAAUGCGACACUGCUGCAACCGCACUGUUGCCUCAUGAGUCACACGCACACACACUUGCAGCAGCUGGUUAGAAAGCGGGCACUGCAAAGUUUGGGAGAAACCUUUGGGCUGCAGAACUGCUCUCUCCAGAGAACCGCAAAAACACAAAAGAUACCCAGACAGAUUCAACACAUGAAAUGAAUUGUAUCCAGCUAAAUGAGAAACACCAGCAAAGGAGUAUCUCUACCAACUUUAAACACACCCUGGACAGCCACUGCUUUUGAAUAAAUGAUUCCAGGCCAAAUGUUUGCUGCUCGGAUGCCACAAAAUUUGCAGAUUGACUUAAGGAGCAAUUACGCACUUGGCUUUGGAGCCCCUGAGGCUUUGGAGGAUGAUUUGGUGAGUGGCUCCUGGACAAAGUAAGCACAUCUGACCAAAGUGGGCCUUUCCAUCAGCCGAGAGUGUCAAGGAAGCCACAAGACACAUACACACAACAACUCUGAUAACAGGGCCAAAUUCGGGGCCUUGAGCUCUGCAACAAUUGGACCCACAACUGAAUCAAAGACAUGGAUGCAGCAAAUGCAAAAACAGCUACAAAUAAUAUGAUUCCCUUGUGUGGGUUAUGGCUGACUGCUGCUUGUCCCUUUUGCUAUUGCAACUCUUGAGGUACUUUUCAUCUUUAAUAACCCCCUCCCCCCACCACCACAGAAAAAAAAACAGUUUUUCUCAAAAACCAUGACAAUCAGUACAUUUGAAAAGCUCACAAUUAUUGCCAUGCUUGAAGCAACCUCCCUGCUCACCUGAAGGGACUCCGAGAUUUUUCUUCCCCACCACCCCCCCAAAGCUCAACUGUAGCAUUGCAAAACAAACUGAAGUAGAGCUUAUAGCUCGCAGUGACGGACAGCGAAAGAGUGACAUUUCAAUCGAGCCCGAUGCCAAAGCAGUAGUGGAACACGGAGGAAGUAUGAAGAAUCAUUUCACUGGGUAUGACCACACAGUCACAAGUCAACACACUGUGAUUUACUUUCAGUCAGCUGCUUUUCGGGUCUCUGAGGGCGAUCUGUUUGCUCAUGAUGUCGCCCCUAAAAAGCGUGACUGCUGAUGUCUGCGCCGGUGUCGCCGGCAACAUCGCGUCCCCAUGGGCUUUUGGUUAAGGAAGUCAUAAAGGCGCUUCCGUCACGGGGAAUGCAGAGCCUGUCUGAGACCAGUUGGAAGCGCCCAGUCAAAGCCAAACACGCAAAAGCUGUAUUUCACUCAAAAGAGAACAUUGAUGAGCCUUUUUUUUCUUCUUCUCAAGAGAGGCAAAACCACAGCAAAGUGCCACAGGGCACCAAACGAGAAAAACAACUGAGGGAACCAGAGAGUUGGUGGCACUCCGACAACAGAGAGAAGACUGCCAUGAUUUACGACAUCAUGUCAGCGAGGCUGUACCGCCCACCAUUGUAUGGAUGGAGUCUUCAUCGCAUCAUGUCUGCUCUAGUUUAGCGUGGCAAACUUCCAACAUUAAACCGGGCGAAGCUAAAUCAACGGAGGGGACGCUGCUCUGGCCCAUUGCAACCCUUGUGAAAAGAUCGAAAGCCUUGCGCUUCUACGGACUCAUGGGGAAACGCUCGGGUGACACUACACAUCCCGAAAAAGUGUGCCGGCACCAAGUAUUUGGGCACGUCAUCUUUCACUUUUGUUGUUGUAAUCAAAAUACACAGUACUGCAGAAACCCCUGCAUAAAUAUGUGACUAAUUGUCCAAUUACUGAUCAAGGUGUUUAAUAUUUCGGGAUCACAUUGCCCAGAGGUGAGCAAAAAUACAAAAAAUAAUAAUAAUAAUAAACUUCAUACAGACUGCUUGAAUGCAUUCUAAAAAUAGAACAUCCUGUAAGUAUGUCAAAACUCACAUGUACAGGCCAAGACAUUUUGUUUAGUGUGUCCGACAAAAUUCAUAGCAAGUGCAGAGUCUUCAACAACACAUUCUUUAGAUAAACCACACAAGCAGGAUGUGUUUGUAGCAGUAUAAAACCCUGAGGUCGUUUUAUUUGAUUUGAUGUGCUUUUUUUUUUUACAGUGGUACUGUCAGAAUUUCAAUUAUCAGCAACUCCAAAAUUAUAUUCUUUCAUUAUCAGGCAAGUUUACCAGAGGAAUGGGUAUGAAUCCUGUAUCGAUGGGAGGGAGCGCGGAAAAAAUGAGCGACGCAGCUCAAGACAACGUCAUUAUCAUUUGCUUUCUUCGGCUUCAAAGAGGGAGAAAAAAAGGACAAUAACUGCUCCAUAAUGUAGUUAUGUAUUCUUUUGUAAGGGCACAACAUUCAUGUGAUAAAUUGUCAUUGAACAUUCAAAACUCAACUUGAGACUCUCCACCUUGUGAUUUGACUGAAACAUAUGGACAAAAGGGAUCCAAUAUAAAAAAAAAAGUAAGAAGCUGGAAAAAACAACAA